AACCACCCUUCUUUUCCUCUCUCCGUCUCUCUCACCUGCAAAACUCCCCCCUCUCUCACCCGCCAUUAACAAUCAUUGACUCACCCACCAUCAACAACCGUUGACAACGGGAGAUCUUCGGCCAUUAACAGUCACUACAACCCUAUCAGUGGACUGAACCAAGCAGCAACAAAUUUUUAUUCAUUCGAGCAAGGUAGAAUUGCUGCAUAUAGACUAUGAGAUGAUUAAGCCACUCGACCUCUACUGUUAAUCAGGAUGGAAAUACCUUGGAUUCGGUGCAAGGAAACAUUAGUUCUGGAAUGUGUAUUUCAGUUAUCUUUCUCGUCCUGAAAUCCCUUUCUGAAGUGGGUUUUACCUGACUGUGCCUGCUGGAAAAACUGUGGCACUUUUUGGCAAGAAUGGCUCAGCAAAAAGCAGUAUAAUUCCUCUCAUGGAACGUUUCUAUGAUCCUGCAUUAGGAGAGGUUCUUUUGGAUGGGCAAAAUAUUAAAAGCCUUGAAACUAGAAUGGUUAAAGAAGCCAAAUAGGACGGGUCACCAAGGAACCUACCUUGCUAAGUUUAAGCGUAAGGGACAACACUGCUUAUGGAAGGUCAACUGCUACAUUGGAUUAGAUUGAAAAGGCAGCCAAAAAGGUCAUGCACAUACUUUUAUCAGCUCACUUGACAAAGGAUACGAGACACAGGUGGGAAUGGCUGGCUUGGCAUUAACUGAAGAGCUAAAAAUAAAACUCUCAUCACUAGGGCAGUGCUUUCAGAUCCAUCUAUACUUCUGCUUAAUGAGGUUACUGGUGGCCUUGGCUUUGAAGCAGAAAGGCCUGUUCAGGUGGCUCUGGAUAUCCUUAUGCUGGGAUGCUUAACUAUAAUAAUAGCUCGGCGUCUUAGCCUUAUAAGAAAUGCUGAUUAUAUAGCUGUGUAGGGUCAGCUUAUUGAAAUGGAUAUACAUGAUGAAUUUCUUACACUGGGUGGCCUCUAUGCAGAACUCCUGAGAUGUGAAGCAGCAGCAAAGCUUCCUAAGAGGGAGGACAAAUCUGAUCUGAGUCUUGAGGAAAUAAUGAUCUGGCUUUCCAUUUAGGUAUUGCAUCUCAGCUACAAUGGCCCUAAAGCGCUCCCUCCUUGUUGUUCAAAAUGUGCUCGAAGCUCUCAACCCUCGAUCUCCAUAACAGGGAAAUUACGAUGUAUAUUCUUCGCCAGAUUGAAGGGUGGGAAGAAUUUGAUGAGCGUCACCCAUCAAAGCACCAGAAGCAACUGGAUUUCCGUGUUGGGCACUCUGCUGGAUUUUAUGGAGCAGAUAAGUAUGAGGGACGUUAAAUCCUUCAGAUUGCCAUGCCAGUUUUGUGAGAGGCCAUACUUCCUUUGGUGCCUUCAUUUUUCCAAUCAUAGUUAAAUCCGGAACUUGUAUAAUCUUCAGGUGAAAUUAUGGGGUCCUAAUGCAUGAACGCCGGUAGUGUCUUGAUGUGCCCAUUCAUUCCUGUAGGCCCAUGGUUGGAUAAUCCAGAGCAUUGGUCUGGUGGGGUUCACAUUGUGGAUGGGGAUGCUUCGAAAAUCUCACUUGUUUGAAGAUCUACAAAUAGUUGGAUGGAUAAAACCCUCCAAUUGGUAAUGUUCAUCUAUGAUGGGACCCAUCAGAUCAACAGUUAUGAUCACCUGUCCAGGGGUCUCACCUUUAACUGGAUGUGUAAGAGGACGUUCCGAUGUAUCAGGUCCAAUCUAUAGACAUCUAUGCCAUGAACGACUGCAUCAAAACAUUUGCCACCAUUUGCUCUGCAUUGAGCUACUGGAAUCUCAAGAAGUGGUUUUGGGAUGCAGCAGUAGCAGUACGAUUUGAAAGUGUAUGAGAUUAGUGAGUUAGUUCAAAUGAUCAAAGGCGACAGCUGAAUCUCCUCUUGCUUCUUGCUUGCCUCUUUGGUACGAAAAGAAUCUGAACUCAGCCCUAUACAGAGUAGACUCAGCUGAGUCAAUAUGAUGUUGACUCGGAUGAGUUGUGCCCAGGAGCCGAGUUUUAAUUCCUUGGACCACCCAUUUAAUAGCCACUACUUGGAUGGUUAGGAUUGCUUGAUCAGUGUGAUAUUAGAGUUUUGAUUCAUCCAUUAUGUGAUAUUACAGUGUGAA